rnacentral:rRNA from 1 species
UACGGAGGGUGCAAGCGUUGCUCGGAAUUAUUGGGCGUAAAGGGCAGGUAGGUGGUCUCAUUUGUCUGGGGUGAAAGCCUUGAGCUUAACUCGAGAAGUGCCUCAGAAACGGUGAGACUGGAGUCCUGGAGAGGGUCGUGGAAUUCCCGGUGUAGCGGUGAAAUGCGUAGAGAUCGGGAGGAACACCAGAGGCGAAGGCGGCGACCUGGACAGGCACUGACACUCAACUGCGAAAGCGUGGGGAGCAAACAGG